UCCCCGCAGACCUCAUCGUGGGCGCCUUCGGCGUGGACACGGCCGUGGUGUACAGGGGCCGCCCCAUCGUCUACGCCAGCGCCUCGCUCAGCAUCUUCCCCACCAUGUUCAACCCCGAGGAGCGCGGCUGCGCCCUCGAGGACACCGGCGUCCUUGUCCCCUGCAUCAACCUGAGCUUCUGCCUCAACGCGUCGGGGAAGCACCUGCCCGGGGCCAUCGGCUUCGCGGUGGAGCUGAGCCUGGACGGGCUGAAGGCCAAGGGCGCCGUGAAGCGGGCGCUGUUCGUGGCCG